rnacentral:rRNA from 1 species
GAUGAACGCUGGCGGCGUGCCUAAUACAUGCAAGUCGAGCGAACGGACGAGAAGCUUGCUUCUCUGAUGUUAGCGGCGGACGGGUGAGUAACACGUGGAUAACCUACCUAUAAGACUGGGAUAACUUCGGGAAACCGGAGCUAAUACCGGAUAAUAUUUUGAACCGCAUGGUUCAAAAGUGAAAGACGGUCUUGCUGUCACUUAUAGAUGGAUCCGCGCUGCAUUAGCUAGUUGGUAAGGUAACGGCUUACCAAGGCAACGAUGCAUAGCCGACCUGAGAGGGUGAUCGGCCACACUGGAACUGAGACACGGUCCAGACUCCUACGGGAGGCAGCAGUGGGGAAUCUUCCGCAAUGGGCGAAAGCCUGACGGAGCAACGCCGCGUGAGUGAUGAAGGUCUUCGGAUCGUAAAGCUCUGUUAUUAGGGAAGAACAUAUGUGUAAGUAACUGUGCACAUCUUGACGGUACCUAAUCAGAAAGCCACGGCUAACUACGUG